rnacentral:rRNA from 1 species
UACGGAGGAUCCAAGCGUUAUCCGGAUUUAUUGGGUUUAAAGGGUGCGUAGGCGGAUUGAUAAGUUAGAGGUGAAAUGUCCGAGCUUAACUCGGGAACUGCCUCUAGUACUGUUGAUCUAGAGAGUAGAUGCGGUAGGCGGAAUGUAUGGUGUAGCGGUGAAAUGCUUAGAGAUCAUACAGAACACCGAUUGCGAAGGCAGCUUACCAAUCUAUAUCUGGCGUUGAGGCACGAAAGCGUGGGGAGCAAACAGG